rnacentral:tRNA from 1 species
GGGCCUGUAGCUCAGUUGGUUAGAGCUGACCGCUCAUAACGGUUAGGUCCCAGGUUCGAGUCCUGGCGGGCCCA